UACGUAGGGUGCGAGCGUUAAUCGGAAUUACUGGGCGUAAAGCGUGCGCAGGCGGUUUUGUAAGCCAGAUGUGAAAUCCCCGGGCUUAACCUGGGAACUGCGUUUGAAACUACAAGGCUAGAGUGUGGCAGAGGGGGGGUGGAAUUCCACGUGUAGCAGUGAAAUGCGUAGAGAUGUGGAGGAACACCGAUGGCGAAGGCAACCCCCUGGGUUAACACUGACGCUCAGGCACGAAAGCGUGGGGAGCAAACAGG
rnacentral:rRNA from 1 species